rnacentral:miRNA from 1 species
GCUCAUGUCUCUUUCUGUCAGCU